UACAGGGGGCUCGAGCGUUAGUCGGAAUCACUGGGCUUAAAGGGCGCGUAGGCGGCCUGAUACGUCGGGGGUGAAAUCCUGCGGCUUAACCGCAGGGCUGCCUUCUAAACUGUCGGGCUCGAGCACAGUAGAGACAGGUGGAAUUCCCGGUGUAGCGGUGGAAUGCGUAGAGAUCGGGAAGAACAUCAGUGGCGAAGGCGGCCUGCUGGGCUGUUGCUGACGCUGAGGCACGAAAGCCAGGGGAGCGAACGGG
rnacentral:rRNA from 1 species